AAGUCGUAACAAGGUUUCCGUAGGUGAACCUGCGGAAGGAUCAUUACAUUCAGUAGCCUAGCUACUUGUUUACACCCUUGUUUUUUCGCGUACCUAUUGUUUCCUCGGUGGGCUUGCCUGCCGGUUGGACAAAACUUAUAACCUUUUUAAAUCUUCAAUCAGCGUCUGAAUUAUACAUAAUAAUUACAA
rnacentral:misc_RNA from 1 species